rnacentral:tRNA from 1 species
AUUUAAGUAAUUUAAAAUAAAAUUUUGAUUUGUGGUGUCAAAAAUGUAAAACUUUUACCUUAAAUU